UAGAUGAUGGGCACAACAGAAAUGAGCUGC
rnacentral:piRNA from 1 species